AGCCAUGCCGCGUGUGUGAUGAAGGCCCUAGGGUCGAUUAAAGCACUUUCGCCAUUGAGAUGCAUAAUGAUCUUGCUGCCGUUCUGCGGAGCGCAUACAGCACCACCCCGAGCUGAUCUACAAACGUGCACANGCAGUUGACGGUAAUACUGAGGGGGUUAGCGUUGUUCGGAAUUACUGGGCGUAAAGCGCACGUAGGCGGAUUAGUAAGUUAGAGGUGAAAUCCCAGGGCUCAACCCUGGAACUGCCUUUAAUACUGCUAGUGUUGAGUUCGAGAGAGGUAAGUGGAAUUCCGAGUGUAGAGGUGAAAUUCGUAGAUAUUCGGAGGAACACCAGUGGCGAAGGCGGCUUACUGGCUCGAUACUGACGCUGNUACGGGAGGCUGCAGGAAAAAUAUUUGUGUAGGGGAGCAAACGGGUUUUGAGGCAAUACAGAACCUGGUAGUCCACACCGUAAACGAUGAAUGCCAGACGUCAGCAAGUAUACUUGUUGGUGUCACACCUAACGGAUUAAGCAUUCCGCCUGGGGAGUACGGUCGCAAGAUUAAAACUCAAAUGAAUUGACGG
rnacentral:rRNA from 1 species